AUGAUUCCAACCAGGACGUUUCCAGCAAUGUUUAUCCGGUCCCGGGAAAACGUCGGAGGAAAAGAGGACAUAUCAGAUGAUCCAUAUGUGGAAGAUGUUGCAGUGGCCCUUCUCACUGUCAUCAGUGACCAGGACACAAAUCCAGUCCACUAUCAGCCUGUGAAAGUCUCAGUGGUGAUUGAAAGUGACGUCAUUCUCAGCUGUUCCAGGUAUUCUGAGGCCUUCGUAACUAUGUUUGGACUUAUUUAUGCUCUACACCUAAGGUGUCCUAAAUCACUUGCCAUGGCCUUUGAAUUUGUUCAGAAGGUUUUACUUGGUGUAGCAGACGGUAAACUGUCACCCUAGUUACAAACGCUCAAGAAUGACCUGACCAUUCAUGUAAUGGCAAUUGAUUGCCUCAAAAUUUUUGAGUAACCGAACUUAUUUGAUUUACAGUGUGGUAACAAAAAUAUUUAGAGUUGAAUGGAUAAUGAAUUUUAAUUUAAUCUAACUCAAGGUGUAUGAGUAGAAUUUAUUAAUAAAUUAAAUUUCUAAAGACGUAGAAUAUUUUGUUUUGAAACUCAAAAUUUUUGAGGCAAUCGAUCACCUCAAAAAUUUUGAGUUGUGGGAAUUUAUUUGGUUUACAGUGUGGGAACUAAAAUAUUUUGAGUUGAUUGGAUGAGCAAUUUUAAUUUAUAAACUUCAAAUGUAUGAGUAAAAUUUAUGAAGAAAUUUCAUUUAUGAAAACUUAAAAUUUUCUGUAUCAAAACUCAAAAAAAUUGAGGCAAUUGAUUGCCUCAAAAUUUUUGAGUUCAAAGAACUUAUUUGGGUUUACAGCUUUGACACAAACACACAGAGAUCCAACUCACCAGACACCACUUUCACUUGGGACUCUGUGUGCAGAGUUUACCUGCAUCUCAGUGUGAGUUUGUGUGUGCGAGUGUGUGUAUGUGCCUCUCUCCUCGUCUUUGCUUUCCAGGCAUCCACCUAUGCUCGGCCUCGCCAUCUGUUCCUCACGCUGAGGAACACGGUGCUCUGUCUUGCUGCAGGCGCUGUCACAUGGUGGGAAAAAUUGUCAACUCAACUAAAACAGAAAAAGGAAAGGUAUGAAGGUGUUUCAGGACAUAGUCAAUGUUUUUUUAUUUUCCUAAAGAGGUUGUGUGAAGGGCUCAUGAUUGUUCUAUGUCUUACUUGCAUGAUCAGUGAGAUCUUAUUUUGUAAAUGAGGGAUCAAGUUUGAGUGGGGAGCUGAAGGGUAAAGAGAACCAAUGAAAAGACCAGGAUCCACAUCGACUGAAGGGUCACUUUUGCAUCAGCCGUUUGUUUACCUUCUCAUUGUGCUGGUGAUGAUGCACGCAACAGGGACGUUUCUCAGGUUAGAAAAUUGUUGCAAAGUAAACAACUGUCUGUAAAAACCUGAUACAAAGGUUGAGAAGUUCUAUGCAACUUUAAGCUUGACUUGUAAACAGUGUUGG
rnacentral:lncRNA from 1 species